GAGGUCCGGCCAGCCUACCAGGAUGCAACCCUGGGCCCUGGUCAGCCCCCUCUCCACUCAUCCCUCCCACGCCCUCCCACCAACAACCCCCCAGCACAGGUUGAGGAGGGUGAGAAGGGGGAGCGGGUGAGGAGGGGUGAGGAAGGACAGGGGAUGAGCCUGGAGGAGUUGUUACAGGUUGGGGGUGUGAGACCUGUUGGCAGACACCUGGCCAUCUCUCUCCCCUCUCUACCUCUCAGACUCUGGGAUAUAUCUCACACACACACUCCCCCCUCACACACACACUCUUACUCUGACCCCCAACACACACACCCUCCACCCUCACAUACAAACCCUGAGCACCCACACACACACUCUGCUCCUCCCGCAGUCAGCCCCACCCCUCACCCUCCACUGCCUCUCCACAUUGGCCCGAUCAAGGUUCCGCCUCCAACACCGUCACACGUCAUUGGUCCUCCUGGAGCGUGGACCGCCCAGAUGCCGUGGUUACGCCAUAUGACACCCCUCCAGACCGCCGCCUCCCCUUUAGGCCACACCUCCCCUACCGAAACUACAACUCCCAGCCUGCCCCUGGGCAGCAUGACCCCUGUGACCCUGAGGAGGCAGAGUUUUCAGAGCUGGACUUCCUAUACCGGGCCAGCCUCCAGCCAGGAUGUAGAAGUAGGUACUGCAGACUAUAGUAGCUGUGUGUCUAGUAUAUGUAUGAAGUUGUGUGUGUAUAUAGUGAGAGUGAUCCCUGACCUCCAGACUAUGCCCUGUGUGUGUCUAGGUAGUAGCCCGGUCAGGAGGCUGCAGUGUGGGGUAGGAGGGCCAGCUCGUUCCCUCACCCCCAAUGCCAACAUGGAGAGGAGUGUUUACCAGACUGACUGCAGCAGCACAAUGGUCCGUAGUCUGAGCGGCACAAUCAUCAACCCAUCGUCUCACCGCAACACGCAGCUUUUCUCUCUCCUCUCCUCUCUUCUCUCUCCCCUUCUGAAGGUGCCUCUGCUUCUUACCUAAUCUCAUCUGGGA
rnacentral:lncRNA from 1 species